GAAAAACUCCGGUGGUAUGAGAUGGACCCGCGUCUGAUUAGCCAGUUGGUGGGGUAACGGCCUACCAAAGCGACGAUCAGUAGCCGACCUGAGAGGGUGACCGGCCACAUUGGGACUGAGACACGGCCCAAACUCCUACGGGAGGCAGCAGUGGGGAAUAUUGCACAAUGGGGGAAACCCUGAUGCAGCGACGCCGCGUGAGCGAAGAAGUAUUUCGGUAUGUAAAGCUCUAUCAGCAGGGAAGAAGAAAUGACGGUACCUGACUAAGAAGCACCGGCUAAAUACGUGCCAGCAGCCGCGGUAAUACGUAUGGUGCAAGCGUUAUCCGGAUUUACUGGGUGUAAAGGGAGCGCAGGCGGUACGGCAAGUCUGAUGUGAAAGCCCGGGGCUCAACCCCGGUACUGCAUUGGAAACUGUCGGACUAGAGUGUCGGAGGGGUAAGUGGAAUUCCUAGUGUAGCGGUGAAAUGCGUAGAUAUUAGGAGGAACACCAGUGGCGAAGGCGGCUUACUGGACGAUUACUGACGCUGAGGCUCGAAAGCGUGGGGAGCAAACAGGAUUAGAUACCCUGGUAGUCCACGCCGUAAAC
rnacentral:rRNA from 1 species